UCUAGUACACUCCCAAUUGCGUAUAUACUCCCUCAUUCAAAAGACUUACUUUGUAGGAUUUUUUCAAUCUAAAAUUUGGGAAUCACCUAAGAAUCACUAGAUGAUUAUUUUCAAAAGAAAUUUCAGUGUUUGGCAUUUAGAUCUGACCCUUUAAAAAAUGGGAAAAUAUAGAAUGAGACAAUAUGCCUUUUAUACAAGGUGGCCACAAUAAUCUUGACCAAGGUCAAACUUCAAAAAGAAAUUUUCUCAAACUUUGUCACACAUCCAAGCGAUCAAAGUUCACAUCAAAUAGUUGUAGAGAAUUGUGACCAUCUUGUGGUAAACGGUCUCAUUGUAUACAAUCCCAUAAAAAUUCGAC
rnacentral:lncRNA from 1 species